UGCAUGUCUAAGUACAUGCCGUAUUAAGGCGAAACCGCGAAUGGCUCAUUAAAUCAGUUAUGGUUCCUUGGAUCGUACCUUACUACUUGGAUAACUGUGGCAAUUCUAGAGCUAAUACAUGCAGCAGAGCUCCGACCUUCGGGAACGAGCGCUUUUAUUAGACCAAAACCAAUCGGACCUCGCGUCCGUAAACUGUGGUGACUCUGUAUAACUUUGGGCUGAUCGCACGGGCCCGUCCCGGCGACGUAUCUUUCAAGUGUCUGCCUUAUCAACUGUCGAUGGUAGGUUACGCGCCUACCAUGGUCGUAACGGGUGACGGGGAAUCAGGGUUCGAUUCCGGAGAGGGAGCCUGAGAAACGGCUACCACAUCCAAGGAAGGCAGCAGGCGCGCAAAUUACCCACUCCCGGAACGGGGAGGUAGUGACGAAAAAUAACAAUACGGGACUCUUUUGAGACCCCGUAAUUGGAAUGAGUACACUCUAAAUCCUUUAACGAGGACCAAUUGGAGGGCAAGUCUAGUGCCAGCAGCCGCGGUAAUUCUAGCUCCAAUAGCGUAUAUUAAAGUUGUUGCGGUUAAAAAGCUCGUAGUUGGAUCUCAGUUCCGCAUHCGCGGUCCGCCUACCGGUGGUCACUGCGDAGUGCGAACAACACAGCCGGUUUCUCUUGAUGAUCUUCACCGGUUGUCUUGGGUGACCGGCAAGUUUACUUUGAAAAAAUUAGAGUGCUCAAAGCAGGCGUGACGCCUGAAUAAUGGUGCAUGGAAUAAUGGAAUAGGACCUCGGUUCUAUUUUGUUGGUUUUCGGAACACGAGGUAAUGAUUAAGAGGGACAGACGGGGGCAUUCGUAUUGCUGAGCUAGAGGUGAAA
rnacentral:rRNA from 1 species